GACAGAGGGUGCAAACGUUGUUCGGAAUUACUGGGCGUAAAGCGAGUGUAGGCGGUUCGAUAAGUCGGAUGUGAAAGCCCCGGGCUUAACCUGGGAAUGGCCGUUGAAACUGGCGAACUGGAGUGUGGCAGAGGGGGUGGAAUUCCGCGUGUAGCAGUGAAAUGCGUAGAGAUGCGGAGGAACACCGAUGGCGAAGGCAACCCCCUGGGCUAACACGUGACGCUCAGGCACGAAAGCGUGGGGAGCAAACAGG
rnacentral:rRNA from 1 species